rnacentral:rRNA from 1 species
ACGUCAAUUCCAACGGGUAUUAGCCGUCAGACCUUCCUCCCAACUUAAAGUGCUUUACAACCCGAAAGCCUUCUUCACACACGCGGCAUGGCUGGGUCAGGCUUGCGCCCAUUGCCCAAUAUUCCCC